rnacentral:rRNA from 1 species
AGUGAACGCUGGCGGUAGGCCUAACACAUGCAAGUCGAACGGCAGCACAGUAAGAGCUUGCUCUUACGGGUGGCGAGUGGCGGACGGGUGAGGAAUACAUCGGAAUCUACUUUUUCGUGGGGGAUAACGUAGGGAAACUUACGCUAAUACCGCAUAAGACCUACGGGUGAAAGCAGGGGAUCUUCGGACCUUGCGCGAUUGAAUGAGCCGAUGUCGGAUUAGCUAGUUGGCGGGGUAAAGGCCCACCAAGGCGACGAUCCGUAGCUGGUCUGAGAGGAUGGUCCGCCACACUGGAACUGAGACACGGUCCAGACUCCUACGGGAGGCAGCAGUGGGGAAUAUUGCACAAUGGGCGCAAGCCUGAUCCAGCCAUACCGCGUGGGUGAAGAAGGCCUUCGGGUUGUAAAGCCCUUUUGUUAGGAAAGAAAAGCAGCAGGUUAAUACCCCGCUGUUCUGACGGUACCCAAAGAAUAAGCACCGGCUAACUUCGUG